GUUGGGAAACUGAAAGGCCGCGGUAUUAUGACCGUGCAAAGGUAGCAUAAUCAUUAGUUUUUUAAUUGAAGGCUAGAAUGAAUGGUUGGACAAGAAAUAAUCUGUCUUAAUGAAAGAUAUUGAAUUUAACUUUUAAGUGAAAAGGCUUAAAUAAUUUGAAGGGACGAUAAGACCCUAUAAAACUUUAUAUUUAUAAAGAUGAAAAUUAUUUUUAUUUAUAGAUUUUAUUUUAAAAUAUUUAGCUGGGGCGGCGAGGAUAUUAUGUUUAGCAACUGUUCUUUUUUUUUAACAAUAAUGUUUGAUUUUAGGAUCCUAAAAAGGAAUUAAGAUUAAGUUACUUUAGGGAUAACAGCGUAAUUUUCUUUGAGAGUUCUUAUCGACAGGAAAGUUUGCGACCUCGAUGUUGAAUUAAAGGUUCUUUAUAGAGUAGAGACUAUAAUAGAGGGUCUGUUCGACCUUUAAAA
rnacentral:rRNA from 1 species